UAUGGGGUGUUGUGAACAUUUUCAGUGGCAAGUUGAGACUGAAACAGGAAGUGCCCAAUUUUGAGCCCACGGUGAAAGAGGAAAUGUCAAUUGUUGAACACUUC